CGAAGAAGUCAGGCGCGGUGCUGCCGCGCCGCGGCAGAUUCUUCCUCUUUGCCCCUUCCUCUUGAACCUCGCUGCUAUUCCUUCUUGGCGGCCGCGGCAUCCGGCGUUCAGGAGCUCAUGGUUGUCAGCAGGGACAACGAGGGUGGGUGCCUGGGGGGAGACACCGUUCCCUGCCGCUGCUACCCUGGGCAUCGCUGGAUGAUAUUAGCGAAGCAGUCAUAAUCGUAGGCGAGGAGGACGACCUGCGGAGCCGUGUCUUCUGGCUGCGCCAAUGAUGCGCAGCGCGACGGAGGCGCUUCAGAAGUGUACUGGUGAGAGCCGCCCAGAGCUCCACCGCAUUGCCCGAGAUCUCAGCCGCUGCCGUUGAUACGAGCACGCCCUUGAGAAUUUCAUGGAGAGGACAAAAAACUGAAUUCAGUCCUGCUUUGCUGUAGGAAUCGGAGCAUGUUUUCGACUUGCAAAGAGAAUGACUGAACGUUUCUAGGUGCACGUUAGGCAUAGUUUCAGUCUUCCAAUUAAAUUUCAAGCGUGGAUUGCUAGGAAUCUACACGAUUCUUGUGUUUCUAGGUGCACGUGAUAGUUUCAGUCUUGCACAGAGAAUGGCUGAAAGUUUUUUCCUUCUACAGCUGUGAUUCACUCUUUUUUGUUUCAGGUUUCUGAAAUUUCUCAGAGUGACCAUCUUUGCUGACCCUUAUAACUCGUGGCAUUUGUUAUGCUGUGCAGCAGCUUCUGUUAUAGUUCAUCUACACUCGGUUAAUUGAAAGGAUGAUUGAAUGCAGAUUCAGGAUUUCUAGCUCUGCAGAAUUGUUUACUCAAAGGAACUCAACCGUGUUUGUACACAUGCAGGAUAAUCCUUGAUUUGAUCCAUAAGGUCUUCUACCGACCGAAUACAAGAGUAUCGAUGGCCUACAGGUCCGGAUACAAGGAUUUAGCUUUGAGAAAGGGAGAAGAUUUAUAGAUAAUACAAACGCUCAAUGGAAAGAGAUUUCCUUUCGGUGGCCGACAGAUUGUUUGUGUUGUCAAUGUAUUAUUAUUUUCCUUCCGGUUAGAAGGAAAAAAUCUUACAUGACUCUUUGUUUGACAGCUUUGAGACAGGAAUAAGAGCUCUAUUUCCUGCAACUUUUUGGUUGUCGAUGUGGGAUCGUAGGUCGAUUCGAGGAUAACGGGCAGGCCGUAGCGGAAUUUACUCAACCGCCAAUUACGGAUCAAUUCAACAACAGUCUGAGGCAGAUCAGAUUGCAGCCAUUGUCUGUUAAGCUCCCGAGUGGACGCACUGUAGGGGAGCUACCAAGCCUGGCAUUGAAGCAUCAAGACUCGAGAGUCGCGAAUAAGGACACAAAUACCAUCUAUAUUUUGCGUUGUGCACUAAAGCCGCGUCAGUUAUUGCACAAACUGACAGGGCGCGACAAGCCAUGCUACAGAGGUAGAGAGAGCUUCAGAGCUUGAGAGAGAGAGAGAGAGAGAGAAUUGAGAAUUGUUCAAGAACAUGAAUAGAGAGAAUUCAGAAGCAGUUGCUGCACUAGCCAAGAAAAGGUACAUCCCAACAUUAGUUCCAUACUGAUGACAGUAGAACUACCAAUUCACUUUCCAUUCACUCUCUGCAGUGGAAACAAUGAGCAUAGAAAGCCAUUACGAAUUGUUCC